AUAAAAAUGUAAGAUAUUUUUAAUGGAAAUGUUUAGAACAGUGGAGAAAAGAUGAAAGAUAUCAUCUUUUCCCAACUUACCAAACCGUUACUCACCCCCCCCCCAAAUCCAUCCAACUUUUCUUUUGUUUCCUUCCAUGUCCUUUCUCCAUUGUCGAACCAUCCAAGCUUCAAACCUUUAUUUUUCUUUGAAAUUUCUUUAGUAAAAGCUAAAAAGAAGACUAGUGAGCAACUUUAUUUCAUGAGGAAACUUCCAUAGAUGGGUUAAAAGAGAUAAAUACAUGAGUUAGGGUUUUGGGUUUUCAAAAAGGUCAAGAAAAAAGAGAAGAAGUUUGAGGACAAAAGUGAAGGGAAAGGAAAAGAAGUGGCCAAUGAGUAGAAGAGAAGAAAAACUUGUCAUCCAAAUUUUGGUUGUGAAGUAGAUCCUGUUGGGCUAAUAUUGAGGUUGUGUACAUCCCAUCUCAUCACCAUUCAAAGAGGCAAGAUUGUAUGUAUGAAUUUUGGGGUUAGUAUGGCAUGUACAUAGGUUGAAUGUUAGAUGAACUAAAAUGCAAACUUUGGAAACCUUGUUAUUUUGGUGAUCUAAUGGCAUAUUUUGUUAGCUUUUGAAAGGAAUUCAUAAUAGCUUAACAUAUGCAUGCAUAUAUGAUGUUAUUAUGUA